rnacentral:misc_RNA from 1 species
ACACCUCAACUCUUUAUGGUUUUCCAUGAUGAGCUUGGACUUUGGGGGUUUUGCUGGCCUAUGGUCGGCUCCUCUAAAAUAAAUCAGCUUACCAGUGUUUGGUGGGUAUCAUGGGUGUGAUAACUAUCUACGCUUGUGGUUUUUCCACCAGGUAAUCUUCAGCAAUGGAGGUUCGCUGGAGCUUAUAAACGUCUCUCCUCGGCGAGGACAGUUUUGACC